rnacentral:rRNA from 1 species
GACGAACGCUGGCGGCGUGCUUAACACAUGCAAGUCGAACGGUAAGGCCCUUCGGGGUACACGAGUGGCGAACGGGUGAGUAACACGUGGGUGAUCUGCCCUGCACUUCGGGAUAAGCCUGGGAAACUGGGUCUAAUACCGGAUAGGACCACUGCCUGCAUGGGUGGUGGUGGAAAGCUUUUGCGGUGUGGGAUGGGCCCGCGGCCUAUCAGCUUGUUGGUGGGGUGAUGGCCUAUCAAGGCGACGACGGGUAGCCGGCCUGAGAGGGUGACCGGCCACACUGGGACUGAGAUACGGCCCAGACUCCCACGGGAGGCAGCAGUGGGGAAUAUUGCACAAUGGGCGCAAGCCUGAUGCAGCGACGCCGCGUGAGGGAUGACGGCCUUCGGGUUGUAAACCUCUUUCAGCACCGACGAAGCGCAAGUGACGGUAGGUGCAGAAGAAGGACCGGCCAACUACGUGCCAGCAGCCGCGGUAA